rnacentral:rRNA from 1 species
AUUGGCCUACGGGACGCAGCAGUGAGGAAUACUGGUCAAUGGGCGGGAGCCUGAACCAGCCAAGUCGCGUGAGGGAAGACGGUCCUAUGGAUUGUAAACCUCUUUAGGCGGGGAGCAAUGCCGGGCACGUGUGCCCGGAGGGAGAGUACCCGCAGAAUAAGCAUCGGCUAACUCCGUGCCAGCAGCCGCGGUAAUACAGAGGAUGCGAGCGUUAUCCGGAUUUAUUGGGUUUAAAGGGUGCGUAGGCGGAUUUUUAAGUCAGCGGUAAAAUGUCCGGGCUCAACCCGGGCCGGCCGUUGAAAGUG